GAUGAAGAACGUAGCAAAAUGCGAUAAGUAAUGUGAAUUGCAGAAUUCAGUGAAUCAUCGAAUCUUUGAACGCACAUUGCGCCCGCUGGUAUUCCGGCGGGCAUGCCUGUUCGAGCGUCAUUUCAACCCUCAAACCCCCGGGUUUGGUGUUGGGGAUCGGCUCUGCCUCACGGCGGUGCCGCCCCCGAAAUACAUUGGCGGUCUCGCUGCAGCCUCCAUUGCGUAGUAGCUAACACCUCGCAACUGGAACGCGGCACGGCCAUGCCGUAAAACCCCAACUUCUGAAUGUUGACCUCGGAUCAGGUAGGAAUACCCGCUGAACUUAAGCAUAUCAAUAAGCGGAGGA
rnacentral:misc_RNA from 1 species